rnacentral:rRNA from 1 species
ACCUUCGGGCCUCAUGCCAUCAGAUGUGCCCAGAUGGGAUUAGCUAGUAGGUGGGGUAACGGCUCACCUAGGCGACGAUCCCUAGCUGGUCUGAGAGGAUGACCAGCCACACUGGAACUGAGACACGGUCCAGACUCCUACGGGAGGCAGCAGUGGGGAAUAUUGCACAAUGGGCGCAAGCCUGAUGCAGCCAUGCCGCGUGUGUGAAGAAGGCCUUCGGGUUGUAAAGCACUUUCAGCGGGGAGGAAGGCGUUAAGGUUAAUAACCUUGGCGAUUGACGUUACCCGCAGAAGAAGCACCGGCUAACUCCGUGCCAGCAGCCGCGGUAAUACGGAGGGUGCAAGCGUUAAUCGGAAUUACUGGGCGUAAAGCGCACGCAGGCGGUCUGUCAAGUCGGAUGUGAAAUCCCCGGGCUCAACCUGGGAACUGCAUUCGAAACUGGCAGGCUAGAGUCUUGUAGAGGGGGGUAGAAUUCCAGGUGUAGCGGUGAAAUGCGUAGAGAUCUGGAGGAAUACCGGUGGCGAAGGCGGCCCCCUGGACAAAGACUGACGCUCAGGUGCGAAAGCGUGGGGAGCAAACAGGAUUAGAUACCCUGGUAGUCCACGCCGUAAACGAUGUCGAUUUGGAGGUUGUGCCCUUGAGGCGUGGCUUCCGGAGCUAACGCGUUAAAUCGACCGCCUGGGGAGUACGGCCGCAAGGUUAAAACUCAAAUGAAUUGACGGGGGCCCGCACAAGCGGUGGAGCAUGUGGUUUAAUUCGAUGCAACGCGAAGAACCUUACCUGGUCUUGACAUCCACAGAACUUUCCAGAGAUGGAUUGGUGCCUUCGGGAACUGUGAGACAGGUGCUGCAUGGCUGUCGUCAGCUCGUGUUGUGAAAUGUUGGGUUAAGUCCCGCAACGAGCGCAACCCUUAUCCUUUGUU